rnacentral:rRNA from 1 species
GACGAACGCUGGCGGCGUGCUUAACACAUGCAAGUCGAACGGUGAAGCGCCUUGCUUUUUGGUGGGUGUGGAGGAGUGGCGAACGGGUGAGUAACACGUGAGUAACCUGCCCCCUUCUGCUGGAUAACCGCAUGACAGUGUGGCUAAUACGUGAUAUUCUGGAUCUGUCGCUUGAUUGGUCUGGGAAAGAUAUUGUUUCGGUGGGGGAUGGGCUCGCGCCCUAUCAGCUUGUUGGUGGGGUGAUGGCCUACCAAGGCGGUGAGGAGUAGCCGGCCUGAGAGGAGGGGCGGCCAUGGUAGGGCGACGAGGCGCAGCAGACUACGGGGGGCGGCAGCAGGGAGGAUUCUUGCACAGUGGGAGCAAGCCUGAUGCAGCGACGCCGCGUGAGGGAUGGAGGCCGUCGGGUAGAGAACCGCUUUCGGGAGUGAAGCAGGCCGGCCUCGUUUGUGGGUGUGUUGACGGUAGCUGGAUAAGAAGCGCCGGCUAACUACGUG